GCCGGCCCGAGGAGGAGGAGGAUCCUAGGACCCAGUGGAAAGGCUCACCAACCAGGGCCUAGAGAUGGUGAAGGUCUGUGAUACCUACAUUAUUAUCUGUGCACCUUCAGAGGACUGAUCAUUUUCUUCCUGUGAUCUUUGCUCUCUUCUUAUGAACAAUGUGGCUGCUGACUACAAUCCUUAUCUUCCCAAUCAGUUCCAAUACCUACGCUGGGCAUGCUAGCAGCUCAAGCAAAGCCUCAGCCAGAUUUAGACACCUGUACUUUGAGCAGUAGCACCUUAAACUUCAAACUUAGUCCCACUGAGUCUGUGCAUGGAAUAAGGUGUUAUUGAGGGGGAAGAGGAGAUGUCAGAAUCCAACCCCCAUGAGUUUCAUAUUACAGGUGGAAUAUGGAAGAAACAACAAAUCUUCUUCAGCAUUCAGAUCAGAGAUGGGCUGAUACAAAGCUUGGACUGUGAACAUACCUGAACUAGAUCUAUGUGUGGUUUGAAUUUUGUGACUUCCUAAUUCAUAUGCAAAUUUGUCACUAUCAAAAUGGGUCUGAUGAAAAACUGUGAAAAACACAGAGAUUAACAUCUUUUGAGGAUGAAUGACUGCAGCAUGGCACUGCAGUAUCCAUAGACUCCAAUGAAAACUUACAUGUACAGGCAGUC